ensembl:lncRNA novel transcript
CUGCUGGCUAUCCUGGGUCUGUGAGAACAUUGACUGAGGUCCCAGGUGACAAUGGCUUGCUAUGCCCAGCUGGCGGAUGGUGAGAAGAGGCCUCAUUGAAACCACCUAUCGCAUCCAGGAUCUUUACCGCAGGACCUCUGAGCCACAGAGUGGGGUGGAUCAUAAUGACUGCUGUGUGGGAAAAGUAUAGCAGAGGGAGACUGGAGGCAGAGAAAGCAGGAAAGACACUCCUGCCAUCAUCCAGGCAAGCAAUGACGGCCUUAAGAGCAAUUCCCAAUAAACUUUGUGCAUUGUGAUUUUUAUCUCAGCAUUUGCUGCCAAGAAAACUUAGCCUGCUACAGACACCACCCCUCUUGGUGGGGCUGAAGAUCCUAGAGUGUAGAUGCUGGGUACUUACUCCAUAGAAGUCUCCAUAUAUCAGCAUUAGAAGAACAAUUGAUUUGCCCAGAGAAAAUUGGUCAUGCUGCCAAGUCCAGAUUCUGAUAUGUCUGUCUUCAAAGCCAUUUUCUUGAAAGCCAUUUGUAUACUGCUGUGUUUUCCUAUUUAAUACAUAUUUUUAUGAUUGA